rnacentral:sRNA from 1 species
UUGCAUCUGAGGCCAGUGAGGAUGAGAACCUCCGGGGGCAGGAGGUUCGACUCGAGCGAAGCGAGAGAACGUUGCGUCAGCAACGGCCCGCAGGGCGAGCCACGAAGUGGUGAGUCAUCCUCUUUCACCGACCA